rnacentral:rRNA from 1 species
UUCCAGACUCCUACGGGAGGCAGCAGUGGGGAAUAUUGCACAAUGGGGGGGACCCUGAUGCAGCGACGCCGCGUGGGUGAAGGAGCACCUCGGUGCGUAAAGCCCUAUCGGCAGGGAAGAAAAGCGAACAGGUUCGCCUGGACGGUACCUGACUAAGAAGCCCCGGCUAACUACGUGCCAGCAGCCGCGGUAAUACGUAGGGGGCAAGCGUUAUCCGGAUUCACUGGGUGUAAAGGGAGCGUAGACGGCGACGCAAGUCUGGAGUGAAAGCCCGGGGCCCAACCCCGGGACUGCUCUGGAAACUGCGUCGCUGGAGUACGGGAGGGGCAGGCGGAAUUCCUAGUGUAGCGGUGAAAUGCGUAGAUAUUAGGAGGAACACCAGUGGCGAAGGCGGCCUGCUGGACGACAACUGACGGUGAGGCCCGAAAGCGUGGGGAGCAAACAGGAUUAGAUACCCGUGUA